GUAAGAGCAUUUGGUGGAUGCCUUGGCACAUACAGGCGAUGAAGGACGUGGCACGCUGCGAUAAGCGUUGGGGAGAUGUGAGCAAUCUUUGAUCCAGCGAUUUCCGAAUGGGGGAACCCAUCCUCACCAUUUACUUUUGUUUUGAAGCACUUCGGUGUGACAAAGUGAGAGUAAAUGGGGAAGGAUAUUACCGAGUUGAAUAAAAUAGACUUGGUGAAGCGAACCCGGCGAACUGAAACAUCUCAGUAACCGGAGGAAAAGACAUCAACCGAGAUUCCGUUAGUAGUGGCGAGCGAACGCGGACCAGGCCAGUGCCUGAUUGUAAAUUAGCAGAACAUUCUGGAAAGUUUGACCAUAGUGGGUGACAGUCCCGUAUGCGAAAAUGAUCAAUCAGGACUCGAGUAGGGCGGAACACGUGAAAUUCUGUCUGAACAUGGGGGGACCACCCUCCAAGCCUAAAUACUCGUAUGUGACCGAUAGCGAACAAGUACCGUGAGGGAAAGGUGAAAA
rnacentral:rRNA from 1 species